rnacentral:tRNA from 1 species
UCAUCAGUGUCCGAGUUGGUCUAAGGAGGGAGACUUAAGAUCUCCUGUGCGCAAGCACGCGUGGGUUCGAACCCCACCUGAUGAA